UUACCACCUUGACAUCGCAGAGAUUAGUUCGCUGACAGGUGCUGCAUGGCUGUCGUCAGCUCGUGUCGUGAGAUGUUCGGUUAAGUCCGGCAACGAGCGCAACCCCGCCUUAGUUGCCAGCAUAUGGGACUCUAGGGAAACGCCGGUGAUAACCGGAGGAAGGUGUGGAUGACGUCAAGUCCUCAUGGCCCUUACGGUGGGCUACACACGUGCUACAAUGGGUGACAAGGGAAUCCCAAAAGCAUCUCAGUUCGGAUUGGGGUCUGCAACUCGACCCCAUGAAGUCGGAAUCGCUAGUAAUCGCGAACGGCAUGCGCGGUGAAUACGUUCCCGGGCCUUGUACACACCGCCCGUCACACCAUGGGAGUUGGUCACCGAA
rnacentral:rRNA from 1 species